rnacentral:ncRNA from 2 species
UAUCCGAUUGGAGGAGCGAUUCCCAUGAGUAUUCUGGUGGAGGGCGGGGUGCCCGGUGAAGCCAGGACAAAGGGGCGGAUCGCCGAAGGGACUGCGGAAGCAUCCGCCACAUUCCCUGGUCGUUCGGGCUAAUACCCGACGGCUGUCGCAGGGCUUUGUCCUUGCGGAGUGCCAACGGAAUC